rnacentral:rRNA from 1 species
UACGGGGGGGGGCAAGCGUUGUUCGGAAUUACUGGGCGUAAAGGGCGCGUAGGCGGCCUUCUAAGUCGGACGUGAAAUCCCUCGGCUUAACCGAGGAACUGCGUCCGAUACUGAAAGGCUUGAAUCCGGGAGAGGGAUGUGGAAUUCCAGGUGUAGCGGUGAAAUGCGUAGAUAUCUGGAGGAACACCGGUGGCGAAGGCGGCAUCCUGGACCGGUAUUGACGCUGAGGCGCGAAAG